rnacentral:rRNA from 1 species
CCUACGGGAGGCAGCAGUGGGGAAUAUUGCACAAUGGGCGAAAGCCUGAUGCAGCGACGCCGCGUGAGGGAUGACGGCCUUCGGGUUGUAAACCUCUUUCAGCAGGGAAGAAGCGCAAGUGACGGUACCUGCAGAAGAAGCGCCGGCUAACUACGUGCCAGCAGCCGCGGUAAUACGUAGGGCGCAAGCGUUGUCCGGAAUUAUUGGGCGUAAAGAGCUCGUAGGCGGCUUGUCACGUCGGGUGUGAAAGCCCGGGGCUUAACCCCGGGUCUGCAUUCGAUACGGGCUGGCUAGAGUGUGGUAGGGGAGAUCGGAAUUCCUGGUGUAGCGGCGAAAUGCGCAGAUAUCAGGAGGAACACCGGUGGCGAAGGCGGAUCUCUGGGCCAUUACUGACGCUGAGGAGCGAAAGCGUGGGGAGCGAACAGGAUUAGAUACCCUGGUAGUCCACGCCGUAAACGGUGGGAACUAGGUGUUGGCGACAUUCCACGUCGUCGGUGCCGCAGCUAACGCAUUAAGUUCCCCGCCUGGGGAGUACGGCCGCAAGGCUAAAACUCAAAGGAAUUGACGG